rnacentral:lncRNA from 1 species
AUGGAAGCACUUCAAAAUCCCCUGCCCCACUCCCGAAAUCAAAGCCCUGGCGCAGUGAAAGUACCAGGAAAUAGCCUAGCCUCCCGCCCACCCCGCCCCCUUAACCGUGCCCGAUGGCUGCUGCCCAGUAGCCCGUGCUUUCCAAGACUGGCGAGGACGCUGCUGCUGCUGGUUACUCCAGGAGAUCCAACGUCCAGGCUAGGGGUCAGAUCGCGAGACACUGAGCCCUUGUGGUUGGUGUGUGACCACAGUGGAAGUGACCCCAGUUGACUUCUAAAGCUAGUUCAUAAAAAACUAUGAAGCUUCCUCCUGGUUCUUGUGGGCCAUUCACCUUUGGAGCCCUUAACCACAGUGGAGGAAAUGAGAGGCCUCUAUGCUAUGAUGAGACCCAGGCAAUGAUUACCAGAAAGGUGAGUGAAAUAUGCUCCUAAGUGAUUCUGGUGCCCAGUUUCUGGUGCUCAAGCCUU